rnacentral:sRNA from 1 species
ACCAAACCUCUUCGAGGCACGAGGCACAACAGGCUGCUCUGGGAUUCUCUUCAGCCAAUCUUCAUUGCUCAAGUAUGACUUUAAUCUUCCUUACAACUAGGUGCUAAGGGAGUCUCUCUGUCUCUCUCCCUCUUUGUGUGUAUGCAUAUUCUCUCUCUCUCUCUUUCUUUCUCUGUCUCUCCCCCUCCUUCCCUCUCUGCCUCCCUCUCUCAGCUUUUUGCAAAAAUGCCAGGUGUAAUAUAAUGCUUAUGACUCGGGAAAUAUUCUGGGAAUGAAUACUGCUUAUCUAACAGCUGACACCCUAAAGGUUAGUGUCAAAGCCUCUGCUCCAGCUCUCCUAGCCAAUACAUUGCUAGUUGGGGUUUAGUUUAGCAAAUGCUUUUCUCUAGACUUCUCUUUCACACAUUCAUUCAUUCAUUUACUCAGAGAUCAUUUCUUUGCAUGACUGCCAUGCACUGGAUGCUGAGAGAAAUCACACAUGAACGUAGCCGUCAUGGGGAAGUCACUCAUUUUCUCCUUUUUACACAGGUGUCUGAAGCAGCCAUGGCAGAAGUACCUGAACUCGCCAGUGAAAUGAUGGCUUAUUACAGUGGCAAUGAGGAUGACUUGUUCUUUGAAGCUGAUGGCCCUAAACAGAUGAAGUGCUCCUUCCAGGACCUGGACCUCUGCCCUCUGGAUGGCGGCAUCCAGCUACGAAUCUCCGACCACCACUACAGCAAGGGCUUCAGGCAGGCCGUGUCAGUUGUUGUGGCCAUGGACAAGCUGAGGAAGAUGCUGGUUCCCUGCCCACAGACCUUCCAGGAGAAUGACCUGAGCACCUUCUUUCCCUUCAUCUUUGAAGAAGGUAGUUAGCCAAGAGCAGGCAGUAGAUCUCCACUUGUGUCCUCUUGGAAGUCAUCAAGCCCCAGCCAACUCAAUUCCCCCAGAGCUAAAGCCCUUUAAAGGUAGAAGGCCCAGCGGGGAGACAAAACAAAGAAGGCUGGAAACCAAAGCAAUCAUCUCUUUAGUGGAAACUAUUCUUAAAGAAGAUCUUGAUGGCUACUGACAUUUGCAACUCCCUCACUCUUUCUCAGGGGCCUUUCACUUACAUUGUCACCAGAGAACCUAUCUUCUUCGACACAUGGGAAAACGAGGCUUAUGUGCACGAUGCACCUGUACGAUCACUGAACUGCACGCUCCGGGACUCACAGCAAAAAAGCUUGGUGAUGUCUGGUCCAUAUGAACUGAAAGCUCUCCACCUCCAGGGACAGGAUAUGGAGCAACAAGUGGUGUUCUCCAUGUCCUUUGUACAAGGAGAAGAAAGUAAUGACAAAAUACCUGUGGCCUUGGGCCUCAAGGAAAAGAAUCUGUACCUGUCCUGCGUGUUGAAAGAUGAUAAGCCCACUCUACAGCUGGAGAGUGUAGAUCCCAAAAAUUACCCAAAGAAGAAGAUGGAAAAGCGAUUUGUCUUCAACAAGAUAGAAAUCAAUAACAAGCUGGAAUUUGAGUCUGCCCAGUUCCCCAACUGGUACAUCAGCACCUCUCAAGCAGAAAACAUGCCCGUCUUCCUGGGAGGGACCAAAGGCGGCCAGGAUAUAACUGACUUCACCAUGCAAUUUGUGUCUUCCUAA